rnacentral:pre_miRNA from 1 species
CUGUGUGUAAAGUGCCUGUCAAGCUGAUUAAGUAUUGAUGCAACACGAUGAAUACUUAUUCAGCUUCUGACAGUUGGUUUCCACAACU